rnacentral:rRNA from 1 species
GAUGAACGCUAGCGGGAGGCUUAACACAUGCAAGUCGAGGGGCAGCACGAGGUAGCAAUACUUUGGUGGCGACCGGCGCACGGGUGAGUAACGCGUAUGCAACCUACCCUGUACAGGGGGAUAGCCCGGAGAAAUUCGGAUUAAUACCCCAUAAAUAUAUCGAGAGGCAUCUUUUGAUAUUUAAAGUUUCGACGGUACGGGAUGGGCAUGCGUAACAUUAGCUAGUUGGUAGGGUAACGGCCUACCAAGGCGACGAUGUUUAGGGGUCCUGAGAGGGUGAUCCCCCACACUGGUACUGAGACACGGACCAGACUCCUACGGGAGGCAGCAGUGAGGAAUAUUGGUCAAUGGGCGUAAGCCUGAACCAGCCAUCCCGCGUGAAGGAAGACGGCGCUAUGCGUUGUAAACUUCUUUUCCAGAGGAAUAAAAUUUUGUACGAGUACGGAACUGAAGGUACUCUGGGAAUAAGCAUCGGCUAACUCCGUG